CAGCAGCGCGGUAAUACAGAGGGUGCAAGCGUUAAUCGGAAUUACUGGGCGUAAAGCGCGCGUAGGUGGUUCGCCAAGUUGGAUGUGAAAUCCCCGGGCUCAACCUGGGAACUGCAUCCAAAACUGGCGAGCUAGAGUAUGGUAGAGGGUGGUGGAAUUUCCUGUGUAGCGGUGAAAUGCGUAGAUAUAGGAAGGAACAUCAGUGGCGAAGGCGACCACCUGGGACAACACUGACGCUGAGGCACGAAAGCGUGGGGAGCAAACAGGAUUAGAUACCCCAGUAGUCCCUGUCUCUUAUACA
rnacentral:rRNA from 1 species